GAAAUUAAUUCUUUACUUAACCAACAAUGGAACUUGUAAGAGUAAAACGUCUAGUGAUUAUUAUCGCCAUCCUAUCUAUUCAUAUACACUAUGCUCAUAAUUCGCUCUUUCACUGGGACAAAAACGAUAACAGCGAAUGUUUAGUAGAAGGGGACAUUAAAUCACCGUGUAGACAAGAAUGCAGGGAAGAUGAAAAACACGUGAUAGAAGACGCAAAUAACCGUCAAUGCAAUGAUCCCGCCAAGCCAAAAUGUUGUGCUCUAAAGGUCGAAUACAAUAAAAGGAAGAAAGAUGUCUCCAUCAUGGUUUAAGAUGUUGUUCAGUGGCCUUUAUUCGAGAUGUGCGCAGAAUUUCAACCGAGACGAGUACGCAGGUCCACGCGCGUUGUCCUUUACAGCAAAAAGUUACACAUGUGUAGUAUUAUCACCAACUUAGAAACAAUAUAACUAGUCAGUCUGUAGGCAUCCUUUCACCCCGGCCAGCAAUACAGACACAUGCCGCAUGCACAAAAUAUCCCGCAAAACGAAAAAAUGUUGUCAUAGAAAAAAAAGAACAUUUAUGCUUUAGURAAGGAGUGAAUUGAAAGAUAAAAAAGAUCUUUUGUCUAUUCAAUUCAUUUUUACUAAAUACAAAUGUUCAAUUUCUCGAAAAAUUUUUUUUUUCCAAUUAAAUGAAUGUCAGCCAUCUUGACUAAGGUUCAAAAAGACAAAGUAUACUCUCAUCAGAUACUGAAUAAUAAAAAAAUGUACGACCAAUAUAUAAAUACACUUUUACCGGCUUCAUUUGUGUGACGUCUUGCGUGCUAAUUGGCUGAUUAGAGCGCGUCAAUAAAAGGACAUGCAACUGUACACACGUCAUGACCCUGUAAGUCAAGGCACGCUCCUGCGCUUUAAUAAACACAGAAAAACUAUGUAUUUCUCUAGACCUCGACCAUGUCCUGACGCUGUACGUAUGAAAGAUGGUGACUAUAUCAUUGCACCAUUGCUACGCAGGGACUUGUUUUCGGUACAGGCAUCAUUAGACCAGUUCACGUCUGACUGGUCAAUAACCUAUCAAGAUAGAAGAAUGUAUUGUAUAGAGCUUGUCGAUCGCUGAAAAAGAUGUUUUCGCCAUUUACAUUGAAAACCAUCAUGGCGGCCAUCGCGAAAUAGGACUCUCCACUUGGUGCUGUAACCAACAAUUAUCUCUUGAUCGUUUUCACAUGAGAUUCAAAAGACCGGCGGCCAUGUUAGUUGAAGGAAUGAACAAUAUAUCA